rnacentral:lncRNA from 1 species
GCAACCAGAGAAUUAAUACUAUGUGAAAAUUGUUACAACACAUAGACUUCUCUCACUCACACCCCAGACACCCCAGCACAACCACACUCUUACAAAGCAAAUAUUUAAACUAAGUCAGAUACAAGCUUAAAGUGCUAUUGCUGACUGGUGCAUUUGAAAACAAAGGACCAAAACCCAAUAUAUAGCUUUGGCCUUCUCCUUAUUCUCCCACACUAAAGGAUGUGGGACUUGCAAUCAACCCCAACAUGAAGUUUAUUUUUAUAGAGGAAGAAAAAAAAAGUAAAAAAAAAA